UACGUAGGGGGCAAGCGUUAUCCGGAUUUACUGGGUGUAAAGGGAGCGUAGGUGGCAUGGCAAGCCAGAAGUGAAAACCCGGGGCUUAACCCCGCGGAUUGCUUUUGGAACUGCCAGGCUGGAGUGCAGGAGGGGCAGGCGGAAUUCCUGGUGUAGCGGUGAAAUGCGUAGAUAUCAGGAGGAACACCGGUGGCGAAGGCGGCCUGCUGGACUGUAACUGACACUGAGGCUCGAAAGCGUGGGGAGCAAACAGG
rnacentral:rRNA from 1 species